AGAAAUCCCACAUGGAUCGCAAGCCCCCCCCACUUUAAGCCAGGAGCAACCAAGUAAAAAGGCUACAUCAAAAGAAAAGAGAAAAAACAGCAAUGUAGUACAACCACCUGCACCUGCACCUGACUUUGCAACCCAGCAGGUAGGCUAUCAAGGCCCUAGAAAUGCAUCCUUGUUGGGGAAUGAUACUCCAGCAGCUUCUUCAAUACCUGCAACUAGAAGAUAUAACAAGAGGCCAACUAUUUCACAAGUUUUGGACAAGAUGAAAGAGAGACAAAAGAGAAGACAACAAGAGUAGUUUAGACGGCAUCUUCAUCUUGUAAAUGGCCUUUUUUUUUGGGUAAAUGGCUUUUUUUUGGGUAAAUGGCCUCCUUUUGUAAAUGUGAAAAAAACUGUCUAUAAUAUGGCACUCAGUUCCUUUUGUAAUGUGGCAGUAACAAAAAUAUCAAGUUUCAAUCCUUUCUAAUGGAAUUCAAUUUUAUGUUUAUCAA